rnacentral:lncRNA from 1 species
AUGGGUCACCAGCCCUUGUACUUGACCUCCUUCGUUUCUUGGUUUGACCUAAAACUCCAGGUGACCUUGGCGCUUCCUUUCCUCCUCGGUGAAGCGUUCCCGUUUUCAAGCACCUGAGAUGCAAAGCGAGUGGCGCUCGGUCCCCCGGAACGCGGAGGGGAGGACGACGGGCUGCAGCUCCGCAACAUGCCGUGCAGACGCAGGCUGACCACCUCCAGCCCGGCACCUUCUCAAGCCGGCGACAAAGCGGUGCUUCCUCCUGAGUUCGCCCCCGCAAGGAUGCAGAGCAGAGGUGUCAGCGUCACGCAGGCCUUGCAGACUCGCGCCCUCUGCGGAGGCAGCGGCUCCCAGACGUGCCCUUAGGUCCCCUCAGCGCGCGGGUCACACGGGGACACACACUGCCCUGCAGACCCGCGCCUCUGGGCUCUGCAGCGGCGACGGCUACGCAGAGCUCCUCCGAGGUCCUUGCGGUGCGGAUCACCGCUGUCCUCCUCAGCGUCUCCACAGCCGUUCCAGCGCCACGUUCCUGGACGCAGGAGGAGCUCAUCCGAGAGGAGGGUCAUCCCACUCCGUAGCCCCGAGCCACCUGGUGGAAAAGUCGCAGUUCCAGAACGCAGCCGGUGCGCUUCCGUCAGGAAGCCCCGCCCUCCGGCUGGGGGUGGGCGUGGUCCUCAGGCGGCGUCCGUUGCCCCGCCCAACUGCCUCCCAACGGCUCUCGAGGUCGAGCCGAGAAGUGGGGCGGCACCAUCUGGCAAAUUGCGCAUGCGCGCGCAUGCGCAGAACCUAUAGGCGGAGCUCCCUAGUCAGCCCUUCCCUACCCCAGCGUCUCCUCCCGCCCCCAUCUCCCAACCUCCUCAGCGUGGCGCCGACGCUGCGUGCGGCGCGGGUUACCCAGAGUGCUCAGCGCGGGGGCAGCUCACUGGAGUUUGGUUCUCGAGGCGGCGGUGGCGGUGGCGGCGGCUCCUCCGUCGGCGGCUCCUCCUUGCUCGGCGGCGGCGGCGGCGGUCCGGGGCCCGAGCUCCGGUCCCCUCCGCUUCCCACCGUCCUCCGCCAUCUCCCCGAGCGCCCCGACCUCCUCUGGCGCCGCGGGGAACAUGCGGCUCCGUUCCCGGAGGCCGGCGAGUGACUGACCCGCGUCCACCCGCCUCAGCCCGCCCGCCCGCCGGCCCAGCCGCUC